rnacentral:rRNA from 1 species
GAACUGAAGAGUUUGAUCCUGGCUCAGAUUGAACGCUGGCGGAAUGCUUUACACAUGCAAGUCGAGCGGCAGCGCGGGGGCAACCCUGGCGGCGAGCGGCGAACGGGUGAGUAA